UUUGUUUUUUCUGUCCCUCACAAUUUGGAGCAGGUUUGAUGACAUUUCAAAGGUGUGCUUCCGUCCCUCCUCUCUCAUGCUGAUGCCUUGGACCUGGGACCUCUCCAGGGAUGGCGUGUGUGAGGGAGAGGCUGGGUGCUUUGGUCUGAUCAUGAAUGCCUUCCAAACUCCCAUUGCUCAGAGGUGGGCUUUUGGAAAGUGACUGGAUCACAGGGGCAAGCGCUCCUCGGGGGACUCAUCCAGUAAUGAGUUAUGCAGCUCCUCCCUUUGCUCUCUUUCCUGGCUGCCAUGAUGUGAGCGGCUCUCCUCUGCCCAGGCCCUUCCACCAUGCCGCUUCUGCGUUACAGCUGGUGAGCCAUGGACUGCAACUUCUGAAACCGUGAACCAAAGUAAAACUGUCCUUCCCUAA